rnacentral:rRNA from 1 species
GGCAGACGGGUGAGUAACACGUGGGAACGUGCCCUUUGGUUCGGGACAACUCCGGGAAACUGGAGCUAAUACCGGAUAAGCCCUUUUGGGGAAAGAUUUAUCGCCAGAGGAUCGGCCCGCGUCUGAUUAGCUAGUUGGUAGGGUAAUGGCCUACCAAGGCGACGAUCAGUAGCUGGUCUGAGAGGAUGAUCAGCCACACUGGGACUGAGACACGGCCCAGACUCCUACGGGAGGCAGCAGUGGGGAAUAUUGGACAAUGGGCGCAAGCCUGAUCCAGCCAUGCCGCGUGAGUGAUGAAGGCCCUAGGGUUGUAAAGCUCUUUUGUCCGGGAAGAUAAUGACUGUACCGGAAGAAUAAGCCCCGGCUAACUUCGUGCCAGCCGCCGCGG